GACGAACGCUGGCGGCGUGCUUAACACAUGCAAGUCGAACGGAAAGGCCCUGCUUUUGUGGGGUGCUCGAGUGGCGAACGGGUGAGUAACACGUGAGUAACCUGCCCUUGACUUUGGGAUAACUUCAGGAAACUGGGGCUAAUACCGGAUAGGAGCUCCUGCUGCAUGGUGGGGGUUGGAAAGUUUCGGCGGUUGGGGAUGGACUCGCGGCUUAUCAGCUUGUUGGUGGGGUAGUGGCUUACCAAGGCUUUGACGGGUAGCCGGCCUGAGAGGGUGACCGGCCACGUUAGGACUGAGAUACGGCCCAGACUCGUACGGGAGGCAGCAGUGGAGAAUAUUGCACAAUGGGAGGAAGCCUGAUGCAGCAACGCCGCGUGCGGGAUGACGGCCUUCGGGUUGUAAACCGCUGUCGCCUGUGACGAAGCGUGAGUGACGGUAAUGGGUAAAGAAGCACCGGCUAACUACGUG
rnacentral:rRNA from 1 species